rnacentral:tRNA from 1 species
AGUAUAGGUUAAUUUUAAGCUGAUAUUUUGUGGUAAUAUAGAUCCUUUUUAGGUGCU